CCCGCACAAGCGGUGGAGCAUGUGGUUUAAUUCGACGCAACGCGAAGAACCUUACCAGGGCUUGACAUCCCCUGACCGCGUAUGAAAGUACGUUUUCACCCUCGGGUGACAGGGAGACAGGUGGUGCAUGGUUGUCGUCAGCUCGUGUCGUGAGAUGUUGGGUUAAGUCCCGCAACGAGCGCAACCCCUACGUUUAGUUGCUAACCGCGUGAAGGCGAGCACUCUAGACGAACUGCCGUUGACAAAACGGAGGAAGGUGGGAUGACGUCAAAUCAUCAUGCCCCUUAUGUUCUGGGCUACACACGUGCUACAAUGGCCGGUACAGACGGACGCAAAGCCGCGAGGUGGAGCAAAUCCUAAAAAGCCGGUCUCAGUUCGGAUUGCAGGCUGCAAUUCGCCUGCAUGAAGUCGGAAUCGCUAGUAAUCGCAGGUCAGCAUACUGCGGUGAAUACGUUCCCGGGCCUU
rnacentral:rRNA from 1 species